rnacentral:rRNA from 1 species
CCCGCCAGCCCUUUGGAGAGUUUGAUCCUGGCUCAGGAUGAACGCUGGCGGCGUGCCUAAUACAUGCAAGUCGAGCGAACAGACGAGGAGCUUGCUCCUCUGACGUUAGCGGCGGACGGGUGAGUAACACGUGGAUAACCUACCUAUAAGACUGGGAUAACUUCGGGAAACCGGAGCUAAUACCGGAUAAUAUAUUGAACCGCAUGGUUCAAUAGUGAAAGACGGUUUUGCUGUCACUUAUAGAUGGAUCCGCGCCGCAUUAGCUAGUUGGUAAGGUAACGGCUUACCAAGGCAACGAUGCGUAGCCGACCUGAGAGGGUGAUCGGCCACACUGGAACUGAGACACGGUCCAGACUCCUACGGGAGGCAGCAGUAGGGAAUCUUCCGCAAUGGGCGAAAGCCUGACGGAGCAACGCCGCGUGAGUGAUGAAGGUCUUCGGAUCGUAAAACUCUGUUAUUAGGGAGAAGACAAAUGUGUAAGUAACUAUGCA